GAUGAACGCUGGCGGCGUGCCUAAUACAUGCAAGUCGAGCGAACAGAUAAGGAGCUUGCUCCUUUGACGUUAGCGGCGGACGGGUGAGUAACACGUGGGUAACCUACCUAUAAGACUGGAAUAACUCCGGGAAACCGGGGCUAAUGCAGGAUAACAUGUUGAACCGCAUGGUUCCACAGUGAAAGGCGGCUUUGCUGUCACUUAUAGAUGGACCCGCGCCGUAUUAGCUAGUUGGUGAGGUAACGGCUCACCAAGGCAACGAUACGUAGCCGACCUGAGAGGGUGAUCGGCCACACUGGAACUGAGACACGGUCCAGACUCCUACGGGAGGCAGCAGUAGGGAAUCUUCCGCAAUGGGCGAAAGCCUGACGGAGCAACGCCGCGUGAGUGAUGAAGGUCUUCGGAUCGUAAAACUCUGUUAUUAGGGAAGAACAAAUGCGUAAGUAACUGUGCGCGUCUUGACGGUACCUAAUCAGAAAGCCACGGCUAACUACGUG
rnacentral:rRNA from 1 species